UCUAACUUAGUUAUUAUAUUUAAAAGUAGCAGUAGUGCAGUGUGAACCUGAACACACAGUUAGCUGUUGAAGCUGUGAAGGCAGCAGCAGGUGAAACCUCUCUUAGCUCAUAAAGCUUUAAACCUUGGCUUUUGAUCCCAUUACCGCUGAGCUCAGGGCGGGAGGGACCUGCCAACAACACAACUCGUUUGUCAUUAAGUGCCACACAACUCGUGUUUGCAAAGAGACAAGAUGYGCGGCCGUGCCCUGCUGCUGACCGAGCUGAAGCUGUGGGCUUUAGGGAGGAAAAGAUGGACCAGACUCCACCACGGCUUCAGAGGCUGUGGAAAGGCUUUCUUAUCUUCCAGUUGUCCUAAGGUGUGUGUUGUUGGAGCUGGUCCAGCUGGUUUCUACACGACACAGCAUCUCAUCAAGGCCCACCCAGACGUUGAAGUGGACAUUUACGAGCGGCUGCCGGUCCCCUUUGGACUGGUCAGGUUUGGAGUGGCCCCCGAUCAUCCUGAAGUCAAGAAUGUCAUAAAUACUUUCACACAAACUGCUAAACAUGUCCGCUGUAGUUUCUAUGGCAAUGUAACCGUUUGUAAAGAUGUCAGUGUCAGCGAGCUGCAACAAGCGUACCACGCCGUUGUACUGAGUUAUGGAGCAGAGGGAAACCGGCGUAUGGGGGUACCAGGAGAAGACCUGGCUGGUGUGUACUCAGCCAAAGACUUUGUGGGCUGGUAUAACGGGCUGCCCAGCUGUCAGGACCUCAGUCCAGAGCUGAGCUGUGAAACUGCAGUCAUUCUGGGACAAGGCAACGUGGCCUUAGAUGUGGCAAGAAUCCUGCUGUGUCCUGUAGACGUGUUGAAGAGCACAGACAUCACUCAGCCGGCUCUGGACGCCCUGGCACACAGUCAGAUCCGCAGAGUGCUGAUUGUUGGGAGGAGGGGUCCCAUGCAGGUUGCUUGUACAAUUAAGGAGCUCAGAGAAAUGGUGAACCUGCCUGGCAGCAGACCUGAAAUGGUGGAGGCUGAUUUUAAAUGUGUCUCAGAAGCUCUCAAAGACCUGCCCCGGCCCAGGAAGCGUCUGACAGAGUUGAUGCUGAAGACCGCCCUGGAGYCCCCAGGAGAGGAGGAGCAGCAGAGAAGGGAGAAGGCCUCCCGCUCCUGGGGUUUUAGGUUCUUCAGGAGCCCUGUGGAGAUCCUGGCUGAGCCUGGCUGCAGCAGAACGGCUGGCAUCCGACUGGCAGUCACCAGGUUGGAGGGUUCAGGAGAAGGAGCCCAGGCUGUGCUGACUGGAGAACUGGAGGACCUUUCCUGUGGUCUGGUCAUCAGCAGUAUUGGCUACAGAAGCCUCCCCAUCGACCCCACAGUGCCGUUUGAUUCCCACAAAGCCAUCGUGCCAAACAGCAACGGACGCGUUCCUCAAGUCCCAGGUCUGUACUGCAGUGGCUGGCUGAAAACAGGCCCUACAGGUGUGAUCGCCACGACCAUGAAUAACAGCUUUGACACGGCCCGCUCUCUGCUGGAGGAUCUGGACUCAGGGAGGCUGGAUGUGUCUGCUGUUAAAGCUGGAUCACAGAGCAUCAGGGCUCUGCUGGAAACACGAGGAGUGAAACCAGUGAGUUUCUCAAAGUGGGAGAAGAUUGACAGCCUGGAGAUGAGGAGGGGGCAGGCCUGUGGGAAACCCAGAGAGAAACUGCUGAGUGUGCAAGAAAUGCUGAAGGUGGCCCAGACAUGACUGAAAUAAACUGAUGAACUGUUGAUAUAAUAAUAAUAAAAACACAGCACAUGUGGAGCAGAGGGUGGGAGCUCAGAGAUUGUUUCUAACUGUGAGUCUGUGUUUCACACUUACAUUCGUCGGACCCUAAAGGAAUAUUAUCAAACCCACUGCAGUAAAAUGCACAUCAGCAGUGCGUGAUGUCUUAUUUAUUCAUAGAUAUUAAAACUUAAUGGUAAACUUUAAACAGACGAUAUAAAACAGAUGACUCUG